rnacentral:rRNA from 1 species
GCAGCCUGAUGCAGCAACGCCGCGUGAGGGACGACGGCCUUCGGGUUGUAAACCUCUUUUGGCAGGGAAGAAGCGAAAGUGACGGUACCUGCAGAAAAAGCACCGGCUAACUACGUGCCAGCAGCCGCGGUAAUACGUAGGGUGCAAGCGUUGUCCGGAAUUAUUGGGCGUAAAGAGCUCGUAGGCGGUUUGUCGCGUCUGCUGUGAAAACGCGAGGCUCAACCUCGCGCCUGCAGUGGGUACGGGCAGACUAGAGUGCGGUAGGGGAGAUUGGAAUUCCUGGUGUAGCGGUGGAAUGCGCAGAUAUCAGGAGGAACACCGAUGGCGAAGGCAGAUCUCUGGGCCGUUACUGACGCUGAGGAGCGAAAGCGUGGGGAGCGAACAGGAUUAGAUACCCUGGUAGUCCACGCCGUAAACGUUGGGAACUAGAUGUGGGGUCCAUUCCACGGAUUCCGUGUCGCAGCUAACGCAUUAAGUUCCCCGCCUGGGGAGUACGGCCGCAAGGCUAAAACUCAAAGGAAUUGACGGGGGCCCGCACAAGCGGCGGAGCAUGCGGAUUAAUUCGAUGCAACGCGAAGAACCUUACCAAGGCUUGACAUGCACCUGAAAAGGCUGGAAACAGUCUCCUCGCAAGACAG